CCUACGGGUGGCAGCAGUGGGGAAUAUUGCACAAUGGGGGAAACCCUGAUGCAGCGACGCCGCGUGAGUGAAGAAGUAUUUCGGUAUGUAAAGCCCUAUCAGCAGGGAAGAAAGAAGACGGUACCUGACUAAGAAGCCCCGGCUAACUACGUGCCAGCAGCCGCGGUAAUACGUAGGGGGCGAGCGUUAUCCGGAUUCACUGGGUGUAAAGGGAGCGUAGACGGCCGUGCAAGCCAGGAGUGAAAGCCCGGGGCCCAACCCCGGGACUGCUCUUGGAACUGUGCGGCUGGAGUGCGGGAGGGGCAGGCGGAAUUCCUGGUGUAGCGGUGAAAUGCGUAGAUAUCAGGAGGAACACCGGCGGCGAAGGCGGCCUGCUGGACCGCGACUGACGUUGAGGCUCGAAAGCGUGGGGAGCGAACAGGAUUAGAUACCCGAGUAGUC
rnacentral:rRNA from 1 species